rnacentral:misc_RNA from 1 species
AGUGAUUUGCAAACUAUCACUUUAGAACUACAGAUAAUGUCAGAUUUCAAACCAGCAUCGACACCUUUCAGUAAAGUAUAAAGAAGUAAUGGCAACAAAAUGCAUCAGUAAAUACUUGUCUGAAAAACACAGUUUUAUACUAAUGUCUAAUUGAGAUGUUCAGAACAUAAAGUACUCAAAUUGAGGAACAUAUCUAGAUCUCACAACAUAAAAUACUCCAAAAUUGAAAAACAUGUCGAGAUAAGUAGAUCAUAAGCUGCACCGCCAGAAGGGGACAAUUGCUCUAACUCUCAGUCUGCUCCCUCAGUCUUCGGAUUGUACUCCUAACAGUAACAGCACUCGCAGUGUUCAAUGUGUAAGCACCACCAGCUUUGACUUUACCGCAAUCUUUGCAACCCCAAAUUCCCACUGCUUUCCUCUUUACUGCAUACUUUCCACAAAACUCACAGAAGUACUUGCUAUGCUGGCUAACCUCCAUUUUCUUAAUCUGCUUACGCAGACUGGCACCAUAACGGGUACCAUACUUCCCGACGAUUCCAGCCUUCUUGGUCCUCUUAGUCAUUUUUUAGUGUUGAUGGAGGAAUUGGAGCGGCUGCUUCUGAAGGGUGAGAGCAAAGAAAAACUAGGGUUUAUUUU